AUUGCGAAAAAAGUGAAAACGGUGCGUUUUAGGAGAAACAGAGAUGCUGGCUUCCUGGCUGGUGGCGUUGGUCUGCUCUGCUUCUGUUUGUCUAGAGCUCCCUAAUCAUCUCCUCCAAAUUUUCGUGGUCGUAGGGCUUUCGACGUCGCGAACUGUCUAGUUGAGAAGUGGAUCCAUGAGAUCAUUUUAGGGGCAGACUGGGCAGUGUUGCCCUUGACCAGACCAUGGAUAGUAGAGUUAGCACUCAGCCUAAAAAUCAACAGAAGAAAAUGGGGUAUGAAGAGAAGAAUGCUGCGGUUCAUGAAGAAAUGAAGAGAAUGAAGCGACUUCCUGUGAACAGCACCUAUGCUACUCAUCGUUUGCGGGUCCUCAAUAAAAUAUUGCAACUUAUAUCCAUUCAGAGAACUGCAGCACAGGAUGAGGAGUUGGAGUUGCUUUUUGCUGGGCUGUCUCUGUGAACUAACCAGUCUAGGCACUGGUCAGUUUCAGUUGAAUUGAUCUUUUGGAAUAAGUUUAAAAUGUCAGAUCUUGGAUCCUCUGGACCUCUAUGCCUGGAAAAAAAAAAGGUGGAUUUACAGAAGGUGGUGCAUAUCUGGCACGCUGAUGUUGGUGGUUGUGUAUAUCUUUUGUAGCUAUGCCUGUGGAUAUUCUCUGUAUGUAUGGGUUAAUAAUCCGGGAACAAAGUAUGCUCUAAUUUAAUCAUGAAUUUUUCCCACUUUGCUUCA